GACGAACGCUGGCGGCGUGCCUAAUACAUGCAAGUGGGACGCAAGGAAACACACUGUGCUUGCACACCGUGUUUUCUUGAGUCGCGAACGGGUGAGUAACGCGUAGGUAACCUGCCUAUUAGCGGGGGAUAACUAUUGGAAACGAUAGCUAAUACCGCAUAAUAUUAAUUAUUGCAUGAUAAUUGAUUGAAAGAUGCAAGCGCAUCACUAGUAGAUGGACCAGCGUUGUAUUAGCUAGUUGGUAAGGUAAGAGCUUACCAAGGCGACGAUACAUAGCCGACCUGAGAGGGUGAUCGGCCACACUGGGACUGAGACACGGCCCAGACUCCUACGGGAGGCAGCAGUAGGGAAUCUUCGGCAAUGGACGAAAGUCUGACCGAGCAACGCCGCGUGAGUGAAGAAGGUUUUCGGAUCGUAAAGCUCUGUUGUAAGUCAAGAACGUGUGUGAGAGUGGAAAGUUCACACAGUGACGGUAGCUUACCAGAAAGGGACGGCUAACUACGUG
rnacentral:rRNA from 1 species